GAUGAACGCUGGCGGCGUGCCUAACACAUGCAAGUCGAACGAAGCAAUUAAGAUGAAGUUUUCGGAUGGAAUCUUGAUUGACUGAGUGGCGGACGGGUGAGUAACGCGUGGAUAACCUGCCUCACACUGGGGGAUAACAGUUAGAAAUGACUGCUAAUACCGCAUAAGCGCACAGUGCCGCAUGGCAGUGUGUGAAAAACUCCGGUGGUGUGAGAUGGAUCCGCGUCUGAUUAGCUAGUUGGUGGGGUAACGGCCUACCAAGGCGACGAUCAGUAGCCGGCCUGAGAGGGUGAACGGCCACAUUGGGACUGAGACACGGCCCAA
rnacentral:rRNA from 1 species